CACGUGGGUAACCUGCCUGUAAGACUGGGAUAACUCCGGGAAACCGGGGCUAAUACCGGAUGGUUGUUUGAACCGCAUGGUUCAGACAUAAAAGGUGGCUUCGGCUACCACUUACAGAUGGACCCGCGGCGCAUUAGCUAGUUGGUGAGGUAACGGCUCACCAAGGCGACGAUGCGUAGCCGACCUGAGAGGGUGAUCGGCCACACUGGGACUGAGACACGGCCCAGACUCCUACGGGAGGCAGCAGUAGGGAAUCUUCCGCAAUGGACGAAAGUCUGACGGAGCAACGCCGCGUGAGUGAUGAAGGUUUUCGGAUCGUAAAGCUCUGUUGUUAGGGAAGAACAAGUGCCGUUCAAAUAGGGCGGCACCUUGACGGUACCUAACCAGAAAGCCACGGCUAACUACGUGCCAGCAGCCGCGGUAAUACGUAGGUGGCAAGCGUUGUCCGGAAUUAUUGGGCGUAAAGGGCUCGCAGGCGGUUUCUUAAGUCUGAUGUGAAAGCCCCCGGCUCAACCGGGGAGGGUCAUUGGAAACUGGGGAACUUGAGUGCAGAAGAGGAGAGUGGAAUUCCACGUGUAGCGGUGAAAUGCGUAGAGAUGUGGAGGAACACCAGUGGCGAAGGCGACUCUCUGGUCUGUAACUGACGCUGAGGAGCGAAAGCGUGGGGAGCGAACAGGAUUAGAUACCCUGGUAGUCCACGCCGUAAACGAUGAGUGCUAAGUGUUAGGGGGUUUCCGCCCCUUAGUGCUGCAGCUAACGCAUUAAGCACUCCGCCUGGGGAGUACGGUCGCAAGACUGAAACUCAAAGGAAUUGACGGGGGCCCGCACAAGCGGUGGAGCAUGUGGUUUAAUUCCAAGCAACCCGAAGAACCUUACCAGGUCUUG
rnacentral:rRNA from 1 species